AAAUUGAAGAGUUUGAUCAUGGCUCAGAUUGAACGCUGGCGGCAGGCCUAACACAUGCAAGUCGAACGGUAACAGGAAGCAGCUUGCUGCUUCGCUGACGAGUGGCGGACGGGUGAGUAAUGUCUGGGAAACUGCCUGAUGGAGGGGGAUAACUACUGGAAACGGUGGCUAAUACCGCAUAACGUCGCAAGACCAAAGAGGGGGACCUUCGGGCCUCUUGCCAUCAGAUGUGCCCAGAUGGGAUUAGCUUGUUGGUGAGGUAAUGGCUCACCAAGGCGACGAUCCCUAGCUGGUCUGAGAGGAUGACCAGCCACACUGGAACUGAGACACGGUCCAGACUCCUACGGGAGGCAGCAGUGGGGAAUAUUGCACAAUGGGCGCAAGCCUGAUGCAGCCAUGCCGCGUGUAUGAAGAAGGCCUUCGGGUUGUAAAGUACUUUCAGCGGGGAGGAAGGUGUUGCGGUUAAUAACCGCAGCAAUUGACGUUACCCGCAGAAGAAGCACCGGCUAACUCCGUGCCAGCAGCCGCGGUAAUACGGAGGGUGCAAGCGUUAAUCGGAAUUACUGGGCGUAAAGCGCACGCAGGCGGUCUGUCAAGUCGGAUGUGAAAUCCCCGGGCUCAACCUGGGAACUGCAUUCGAAACUGGCAGGCUUGAGUCUUGUAGAGGGGGUAGAAUUCCAGGUGUAGCGGUGAAAUGCGUAGAGAUCUGGAGGAAUACCGGUGGCGAAGGCGGCCCCCUGGACAAAGACUGACGCUCAGGUGCGAAAGCGUGGGGAGCAAACAGGAUUAGAUACCCUGGUAGUCCACGCCGUAAACGAUGUCUACUUGGAGGUUGUGCCCUUGAGGCGUGGCUUCCGGAGCUAACGCGUUAAGUAGACCGCCUGGGGAGUACGGCCGCAAGGUUAAAACUCAAAUGAAUUGACGGGGGCCCGCACAAGCGGUGGAGCAUGUGGUUUAAUUCGAUGCAACGCGAAGAACCUUACCUGGUCUUGACAUCCACGGAAGUUUUCAGAGAUGAGAAUGUGCCUUCGGGAACCGUGAGACAGGUGCUGCAUGGCUGUCGUCAGCUCGUGUUGUGAAAUGUUGGGUUAAGUCCCGCAACGAGCGCAACCCUUAUCCUUUGUUGCCAGCGGUCCGGCCGGGAACUCAAAGGAGACUGCCAGUGAUAAACUGGAGGAAGGUGGGGAUGACGUCAAGUCAUCAUGGCCCUUACGACCAGGGCUACACACGUGCUACAAUGGCGCAUACAAAGAGAAGCGACCUCGCGAGAGCAAGCGGACCUCAUAAAGUGCGUCGUAGUCCGGAUUGAGUCUGCAACUCGACUCCAUGAAGUCGGAAUCGCUAGUAAUCGUGGAUCAGAAUGCCACGGUGAAUACGUUCCCGGGCCUUGUACACACCGCCCGUCACACCAUGGGAGUGGGUUGCAAAAGAAGUAGGUAGCUUAACCUUCGGGAGGGCGCUUACCACUUUGUGAUUCAUGACUGGGGUGAAGUCGUAACAAGGUAACCGUAGGGGAACCUGCGGUUGGAUCACCUCCUUA
rnacentral:rRNA from 1 species